rnacentral:rRNA from 1 species
GAUGAACGCUAGCUACAGGCCUAACACAUGCAAGUCGAGGGGCAGCAUGGCGGUCGCUUGCGACCGCUGAUGGCGACCGGCGAAUGGGUGAGUAACGCGUAUCCAACCUGCCCCGCGCCCGGGGAUAGCCCUUGGAAAUGAGGAUUAAGACCCGAUAUGUGGCUCCGCCGCAUGGCGGUUCCAUGCAGCAGACGCUGGAUGGGGAUGCGUUGGAUUAGCCAGCCGGCAAGGCAGCGGCCUACCGGGGCGACGAUCCGUAGGGGUUCUGAGCGGAAGGUCCCCCACACUGGAACUGAGACACGGGCCAGACUCCUACGGGAGGCAGCAGUGAGGAAUAUUGGUCAAUGGGCGAGAGCCUGAACCAGCCAAGUAGCGUGCAGGAUGACGGCCCUACGGGUUGUAAACUGCUUUUGCGGGAGAAUAACCGGCGCCACGCGUGGCGCCCUGCAUGUAUCCCGCGAAUAAGGACCGGCUAAUUCCGUGCCAGCCGCCGCCGUAACAC